ensembl:miRNA
GUUUAUCUUUGAUUUGGCUGUUGUGGUGUGCAAAACUUUGUGCGUUGCUUUUUGCCACACUGCAACACUUUACAGAUGUGGAAGAUGUGA